UUGGAGGGCAAGUCUGGUGCCAGCAGCCGCGGUAAUUCCAGCUCCAAUAGCGUAUAUUAAAGUUGUUGCAGUUAAAAAGCUCGUAGUUGAAUUUCGAGACCGGUUUACUGAUCGUGCUUUUAUACGUACUAAUAUUAUUGGUUUCUCCUUUCUAACGAACUAUAAUGCCAUUAAUUUGGUGUUUUAGGGAAUCAGGACUGUUACUUUGAAAAAAUUAGAGUGUUUAAAGCAGGCUCACGCUUGAAUACAUUAGCAUGGAAUAACGGAAUAGGACGUUUGAUUCUAUUUUGUUGGUUUCUAGGAUCGACGUAAUGAUUAAUAGGGAUAGUUGGUGGCAUUAGUAUUCAAUUGUCAGAGGUGAAAUUCUUGGAUUUAUUGAAGACUAACUACUGCGAAAGCAUUUGCCAAGGAUGUUUUCAUUAAUCAAGAACGAAAGUUAGGGGAUCGAAGACGAUCAGAUACCGUCGUAGUCUUAACCAUAAACUAUGCCGACUAGGGAUCGGAUGAUGUUAAUUUUUUAAUGACUCAUUCGGCGCCUUACGGGAAAC
rnacentral:rRNA from 1 species